rnacentral:rRNA from 1 species
GAUGAACGCUAGCGGCAGGCUUAAUACAUGCAAGUCGUGGGGCAGCAUGGGGUAGCAAUACCCUGAUGGCGACCGGCAAACGGGUGCGGAACACGUACGCAACCUUCCUUUAACUGGAGAAUAGCCCCUCGAAAGAGGGAUUAAUACUCCGUAAUAUCCCGAUAUGGCAUCAUAAUGGGAUUAUAGCUCCGGCGGUUAGAGAUGGGCGUGCGCCUGAUUAGGUAGNGGCGGGGUAAUGGCCCACCAAGCCUGCGAUCAGUAACUGGUGUGAGAGCACGACCAGUCACACGGGCACUGAGACACGGGCCCACUCCUACGGGAGGCAGCAGUAAGGAAUAUUGGUCAAUGGACNCAAGUCUGAACCAGCCAUGCCGCGUGAAGGAUGAA